rnacentral:rRNA from 1 species
UACGAAGGGGGCUAGCGUUGCUCGGAAUUACUGGGCGCAAAGGGAGCGUAGGCGGAUAGUUUAGUCAGAGGUGAAAUCCCGGGGCUCAACCUCGGAACUGCCUUUGAUACUGGCUGUCUUGAGUAUGGGAGAGGUGUGUGGAACUCCGAGUGUAGAGGUGAAAUUCGUAGAUAUUCGGAAGAACACCAGUGGCGAAGGCGACACACUGGCCCAUUACUGACGCUGAGGCUCGAAAGCGUGGGGAGCAAACAGG